CUGAAACACUUUUAGCACAUACACUAAAAUUGGAACGAUACAGAGAUUAGCAUGACCUCUGCAGAAGAAUGACACAAAAAUUUGUGAAGCAUUCCAUAUUUUU
ensembl:snRNA U6 U6 spliceosomal RNA